UGAGUGCUGGAGUGGGGUUCAAGCAUGGAAAGAAAAAUUUUUUUAUAAAGAAAACCACAUAAGGCAGCUCAAGGUGAAGAGUACAGAAAUGGGGGCCUCUCACACCAAGUGAAAAUGUCCUGGAAGUCGGUCCAGGGAAAGUGGUUCUGCUUAUAUGUAAAUCGAAGCAAUUCAAGUCUCUACAUCUUUUUAAAAUCAUUUGGACUGGAUGGGUAAGACAAUUCAUUUGUCUGGGUUUCCAUACCUUGUUUCUGCGGAAACAGUCAAGGAAUUCUUAGAACAACACUUACCUGCAGGGUGUUAGAUCCAAUAAUCUACAGUUCUGGCCUUCGCAUACUGUUUAUCAAGGUUGAUUCGACAAACACAAAAAUUCUUUAUGGAGUCAAAUGACUGUAAUGAUGCAAGAACUAUGGGCUUCCAAUUUGCUGGGAAAGCUGUUUAUACGGCAGUAUGGGUUGCCGCUGUUUCGUUGUUUGUGGAAUUGCUUGGUUUCUCUACCCAAAAGUGGCUUACUGUUGGGGGUCUGGGCACAGUAUUGAUCACCCUUGCUGGUGGUGAUAUAUUUACAAAUUUUCUUUCGAGUGUAAUGAUCCAUGUGACUUGAUCAUUUGUUGCAAUGUUGAUUA